UACGUAGGGGGCUAGCGUUGUCCGGAAUCAUUGGGCGUAAAGCGCGUGUAGGCGGUCCGGUAAGUCCGCUGUGAAAGUCGGGGGCUCAACCCUCGAAUGCCGGUGGAUACUGUCGGGCUAGAGUGCGGAAGAGGCGAGUGGAAUUCCUGGUGUAGCGGUGAAAUGCGCAGAUAUCAGGAGGAACACCAAUGGCGAAGGCAGCACUCUGGGCCGGUACUGACGCUGAGGAGCGAAAGCGUGGGGAGCAAACAGG
rnacentral:rRNA from 1 species